CACGCGCAUACGGAAGGCUCGCGCCCAACAGUCUUCAGGUCAAAACUUAGCUCUGGUGGACAGCGACACCUGGGACUCAUUUGCUGUUUUCAAAAUUCUUUUCUGAAAGACCUGAAUCCAGCAUACUCACCGUUUGUAUUUGGAGGAACACGUGGCUGGAACGGAUUCUGGAAUCAUCCUUUGAUACCUAAAAUGGGUGUGCAAGUUGACAGUGGACAAGAAGGCGUCUGGGAUUGAUGGAUCAGAUGAUGGGUCUGUGAAGACAAUGAAGCCAGGAAUUCCCAGUGAGCCCAGCCAGCCAUGCCUGAUCCAUCAAGGGAGGCACAACAUGCAAACCAAUAAAGAUCUUUCUACACAAUUGAAAGAGAAGAAGGAAUCACAGGAGAACGCCGUGUGCACAGGUCGGCCCUUCCCGAGAUCUGAGUUUGGUGACUGGGAUCUCUCCGGAUCUAGAAAUAAGCCACCUGGUUGUGGCCUACCAGACUGUUGUGUGAGUCUCAGGUCCUGUAACAAGAAGAGAAUACGCACACGGGAGCGCUUGGAUGUGCACAAAGGCAAGUGCUGCUCCAUAGAGAGAAAUGCAGUCAUUAGAAUGAACGCCCUUGGCUUGUUUAAUGUUUAAUAUGUACAGCUUUUAGGUAUGAUCUCUAUAGCCUGUUCACAUAUGAUCUUGACUCUCAAUCACCAUCCAGAUUCAAAAGGAACUGGAAGUUUGAAAAAUAGCUUUUAAUAACAAAGUUUACAAAAAGCUCUCAAGGUUGGAACACAUCACUAACAUGUGCUCAGAGACCAAAGAGAUCGAAUGGCUUGACUCUGCUGAGAGAGAGACUUGGCCAGUGUGCUUCUAAGAGGCAGAGAGGAGGAGGCCCACCCUCGGGGAGGACAUAUUUGCUUACAUGAAUCCAGCCUAUAGUGAGCAGCCCCAGUUCCUCCUGAAUCAUAAACAGCUCUCCUCAUUCUUCGUGUGACAAUAAUCAGGGCCUCUGUCUUGCUCUGGGAUAAUCACAUGUCUUAUGAGGUACACUUCUCUCACCUGCCAUGAGAAAACUUGUCACAAUUUCCUGGGGGCCAUAAUGACCCACAGUGGGCAGAAAUUUUCUUCUCCAAGUCGGGCCAGGGCUGACUGGGAGCUGUGACUGUGGACUUUGCUCUCAGCUUGAGUGGAUGGAGUGAUAUUUCUGGAUUUGACUGUGAAGUGAUUCUGAAGAAACUUAUGUGUGGUUCACAGACUCGGUAGGCAAGGCCCACCCUUCACUCAGGCAGCAAUGUGAAGCCAUCUGAGAGCCGCACUGGGAGAAGCAGUGUGGAGCAGACACUUCCUCUGCGUCUCCUGGGAUAGACAUGCUUGCUUUAGCUUUCUUCAUCAGAUAUCCAAGUCUGUUCACUCUGAGGAGUGAGCGUGUGGUUCUCUAGUCUCUUCAGAUUCUCAGACUGAGACUCACAAAAGUGGCUUCCCUGGUCUGUGCCUUUCAGACAUGGGCUGCGCCAAGCUACAGUAUUCCAGAGUGUCCGCCUGAAGAAAGCCUGCUGUGGGGAUGCUCAGGCAUAUUGCCACAGAAUGUCCCCAGUAGAGCGAUGCUGUAGGGACGGGGCAGCCCCUCGAGGCCCUGGAACUGCAGGGCGAUCAUGCGCUCAUGCAGCCUGGCAAAGCUGCAGCCCGAGACUCCAACUGUGAAAGCGAAUGUGCACUGAGCCCAGCACAGCCACAGCGGCAGGUCCUCAGCUUAGCUGGAGUCAGUCACCCCUCUCCCGAUUAUUUCUCCCAGAUGAACAGGAACUGAACAGCUGGCUCCUGCUCCUUCAUCACAUUUUGCCAGUGUGUGCUCUUCUGACUGCACAGGCUCACGGCUGCAGAAGGCUAACUCAUCAUCAGGAAGCCUGGUGGUUACAGCCAGGCAAGGCUGAUCAUCUCACCUGUGUCUAAUUGAGACAGCACUACAGUUAGAAGACUGUCCUCAUCCAAGAUGAAGUUUUUGACUCAUUCAAGUCAAAGGCCAUUUUUAUAAAUUAGGGUGGCAGGACACAAAAGGACAGCACUCAUCACACGAGGUUCUGCACCACAGCAGAAUAAGCAGGACCAUGGAAGCAGAGGAGACUGAGGACGUGGACGGGGGACGCAGCCUUCUCUGUGGUGCUCAGUGCCCCAGACUUCAGACACAUGUCCACCAGCACUGCCUGGCCUUACCAGUGAGCCCCAGUCUCACGCUGUGUGGCUGACCCAGACGCAUUGGGGACCACUUCUGCACAAGGCUUUUCCAAGGCAGGAACCUGUGGUAACUUACCUGGCCUUGUUUUCAUCACACUCCCCCAGGCUGAGUGGCUGAUGUGGGACUAAGUCGUCGUCAGAGGCUUCCUCUGGGCCACACCCCAGUGGUGGCUUGAAAGGAAUGCAAACCCUGACUAAGACAUCUCCAAAACAAGUCAGCAUGAAGACCCCCCUCUUUACCCAUUAAUGCCUUUUAACUGCUGACACCCUCUGAAGCUGGGACUUGAAUUUCACUGUAAUUCAGUCAACCCUAUAAUGGGGGGCUUCAGUUUGAUUUUCCACAUCUUGAGCCCUGUUGCUGCUGGAGAGAAGACUCACUUCCGGAGCACAUAGAAACCUUGAGACUGGGG
ensembl:lncRNA LOC102549328 uncharacterized LOC102549328